rnacentral:rRNA from 1 species
AUACGGAGGGUGCAAGCGUUAUCCGGAUUCAUUGGGUUUAAAGGGUGCGCAGGCGGAUAUUUAAGUCAGUGGUGACAUCCCGGGGCUUAACCUCGGAACUGCCAUUGAUACUGAAUAUCUGGAAUACGGUUGAAGUGGGCGGAAUGUAGCAUGUAGCGGUGAAAUGCAUAGAGAUGCUACAGAACACCGAUCGCGAAGGCAGCUCACUAAGCCGAUAUUGACGCUCAGGCACGAAAGCGUGGGGAGCGAACAGGAUUAGAAACCCCAGUAGUCC